rnacentral:tRNA from 1 species
GGGACUGUGGGGUAGCUUGGUUCAUCCUCUGUGGUUUGGGGCCACGUGACCCCGGUUCGAAUCCGGGCAGUCCCA